rnacentral:snRNA from 1 species
AUCGCUUCUUGGCCUUUUGGUUAAGAUCAAGUGAACUGGUUACCAUUAUAUUUAGGUUGGUGCAAAAGGUUAGUGUUGUUUUGCCCGGAUAUCGGCUACAUUCGCAAAGAAAUGUGGUUAUGUUAUACAUCAUUUUAAUACACAUUUCUCACUCU